GAGAGUUAAACAGUACGUGAAAUUGUUGAAAGGGAAACGAUUGAAGCCAGUCGUACCUUCGGGUAAUCAGCCUUUCGGGUGCGAUUCUGUGGAGUUUGAGGAGCUUAACACCUUCAUGCUUUGCAUAUUCGUGCUCUUGGGUGUACUUGCCCGUGUGGUUGGUUAACAUCAAUUUCGGGCACCAUAAAAUGGCUGGAGGAAUGUAGCUUCGAUCUUGUAUUGAAGUGUUAUAACCUUCGGUAGAUGUGGUGAUCGAGAUUGAGGAUUGCAACGGAUACCUUUCGGGGCUACCUGUCUGAUCUCUGAUCGUUGCUUUGGUGCUGAAAGCGUGCUUAUAGUUAUCAAAGUCGAUGGUUAAUAGGUUAGAAUGGGUUAAAUUCGUUAAGGAUGUUGACGUAAUGGCUUUAAACGA
rnacentral:rRNA from 1 species